rnacentral:rRNA from 1 species
AGAUUCGCCUUUAGGAGGGGGAUAACGGAUGGCUUCAUUCGCUAAAACCCCAUAUGCCCCUGGGUGAAACAGAGGAGAUAAGUAAUACUGACUCUUACCUCUGCCUGAAGAGAAGCUCGCGGCUGAUUAGCUAGUUGGUAGGGUAAAGGCCUACCAAGGCGACGAUCAGUAGCUGGUCUGAGAGGACGAUCAGCCACACUGGAACUGAGACACGGUCCAGACUCCUACGGGAGGCAGCAGUGAGGAAUUUUCUGCAAUGGGCGAAAGCCUGACAGAGCAAUACCGCGUGAGGGAUGAAGACUUACUGAGUUGUAAACCUCGGUACCUUAAGGAAGAAGAUCUGACGGUACUUAAGGUGGAAAGCAUCGGCUAACUCCGUGCCAGCAGCCGCGGUAAGACGGGGGAUGCAAGUGUUAUCCGGAUUUACUGGGCGUAAAGCGUCUGCAGGUGGUUUUCUAAGUCUACUGUUAAAUCUUGAGGCUCAACCUCAAAUCUGCAGUAGAAACUAGAAGACUUGAGUAUAGUAGGGGUAGAGGGAAUUUCCAGUGGAGCGGUGAAAUGCGUAGAUAUUGGAAAGAACACCGAUGGCGAAGGCACUCUACUGGGCUAUUACUGACACUCAGAGACGAAAGCUAGGGGAGCAAAUGGGAUUAGAUACCCCA